rnacentral:rRNA from 1 species
GAUGAAUGCUGGCGGCGUGCCUAACACAUGCAAGUCGAGCGGCGGCGAGGGGUUCUUGCACCCUGUCGGCGAGCGGCGAACGGCUGAGCAACGCGUAGGAAUUUGCCCCAAAGUGAGGAAUAACUGCCCGAAAGGGUAGCUAAUGCCGCAUAUGGUCUUCGGAUUAAAGGAUUUAUCCGCUUUGGGAGAAGCCUGCGUUGGAUUAGGUUGUUGGUAGGGUAAUGGCCUACCAAGCCGACGAUCCAUAGCUGGCCUGAGAGGAUGAUCAGCCAGACUGGAACUGAGACACGGUCCAGACUCCUACGGGAGGCAGCAGUGAGGAAUCUUCCACAAUGGGCGAAAGCCUGAUGGAGCAACGCCGCGUGAAGGAUGAAGGCCUUCGGGUUGUAAACUUCUUUUAUGAGUGAAGAAUAUGACGGUAACUCAUGAAUAAGCACCGGCUAACUACGUG